ensembl:snRNA U6atac minor spliceosomal RNA
GUAUUGUAUGAUAAGCAAGGUCAGCACUUUCCUUAACAAGGACAGAAGUGUUAGAAGUGUUUCUAGUGACCCAUAAAACACAUAAGGCUAAAGGACUGUUAACAACUUUGUGGAAUCUAACCACGAUUUUUA